rnacentral:rRNA from 1 species
GUGGAACUGCACGCUUGCUGUUUCGCUGACGAGUGGCGGACGGGUGAGUAAUGUCUGGGAAACUGCCUGAUGGAUUGGAAUAACUACUGGAAACGGUAGCUAAUACCGCAUAACGUCGCACGACCAAAGAGGGGGACCUUCGGGCCUCUUGCCAUCAGAUGUGCCCAGAUGGGAUUAGCUAGUAAGUGGGGUAACGGCUCACCUAUGCGACGAUCCCUAGCUGGUCUGAGAGGAUGACCAGCCACACUGGAACUGAGACACGGUCCAGACUCCUACGGGAGGCAGCAGUGGGGAAUAUUGCACAAUGGGCGCAAGCCUGAUGCAGCCAUGCCGCGUGUAUGAAGAAGGCCUUCGGGUUGUAAAGACUUUCAGCGUCCGGCUAACUCCGUGCCAGCAGCCGCGGUAAUACGGAGGGAGCUAGCGUUGUUCGGAAUUACUGGGCGUAAAGCGCGCGUAGGCGGCUUUUUAAGUCAGGGGUGAAAUCCCGGAGCUCAACUCCGGAACUGCCCUUGAAACUGGAAAGCUAGAAUAUUGGAGAGGUAAGUGGAAUUCCGAGUGUAGAGGUGAAAUUCGUAGAUAUUCGGAAGAACACCAGUGGCGAAGGCGACUUACUGGACAAUUAUUGACGCUGAGGUGCGAAAGCGUGGGGG